GACAGCAUUGAGAUGGGGCAUCUGAACUGAGAGACCUGAAGGACAAGAGAGCUAGACCUACACUACAAAGAUCUGGGAGAACUCUAUUCCCAGAAGAGGGGAUGGCCAUCACAAAGGCCCCGAGCCAGGAAAGAGCUGGGAGUGUGUGAGAACAGCGAGAAGAGAUGGCUGGGGCCGAAAGAGUGAAAGGGAAGUUGGAGGACAAUGUGAGGUUGAGGAGGCUGCAGAGGUCACGUGACGGAGGGCUGCAGCAGCCACAGGAAGGAGCUCCGGAGUUUACAGUAAGUGCAACGAGAAGCCAUUGGAAGGUUUUACGCAGAGAAGUAAUACGAUCUGAUUUAUGGUUUUGAAAGACACCCCUUGCCCCUCCCCUCAAGCCGUGGUGAGAGGACUACAAGUAGGACACAAGAUUAGAGGCAGGACAUACAGGAGACAGAAGAACAUAACGAAGGACACCAAGUGCAACCAGCCAAAUCAGACAGGUACCUUUGUGAGAGGUACCAACAAAAUGCAAUGCACAGAUCCUGUUUGGAUUCUGAUCUGAACCAGUCAACAGUUAAGACAUUUAUAAGACAAUCAGGGAAAUCUGGAGACAGGUUGGAUACUGAAUAAAAUUAAGAAAUUAUUUGUU